AUUCAACACUGAAUGUGAAUAACUGAAAUUGUAUAGACCGGAUUUCUUUAUAUCAACUUUCAUAACUGCUAUAUAACUACAGGAUUCCGCUACCUGCUGUUGUAGAUCUUUCGAGCUUUGUGUUGUUUAUACCUCGAAAUUUCACAACAAAACAUCUUUUUGACUGCUUCGGGAAAACCACCUGUUCCGGCUCGAUUCAUUAUCAUACAUAUCAUUUUGUUGUGGCCUCGUCCCCAGGUUUCAAAUCACGAGUGGCAAUAUUUAGAUGUGUUCUAAUUUAUUAUUUCCAGUGAAUGCUGCUGUUGGACGGGCGCUGCGAGACGUUAAUUACAUUUGCAAGGGAGAGUAUCGAAGAUUAUUGCAUGCGGCUAGAUUGCAUGCGCUCUAUCGACGACCGAUCGAGGGAUUUAUAUUACACUUAACACAUCAGAAAUUGUUCGCAAGAUUUUGAAACGCUUCCUUGUGGUCAACAAAAAAGAUGCGAAAAUUUUGCAGCAUAUUUAUAGUCGUAUUCAUCAGCGUCACUCGGGGUAAGUAAGUAAGUUAGGAGUAAACGAGUCGUCCGCGAAAACGUGACAAUAACAUUUUUAAAUUUCAUUGUUGCGUCAAUAUAAAACUCGAUAGGUUUGUGAAAUCAUAGGUCUAUAAAAUGUCGCAUCCUAAAUUUAAUCUGCUGUUAUAGAUCUCGCUGUACAGUAUAUAUUGUGAAUCCUGAGAUACGGAAAAUAAUUUUCAAUUACGAAUAAUGAUUUGUAAUCAAAAUUGAUCAACUAUCUUGCCCGUGGUCCCUUACUCCUAAGGCCAAGUCAAUAUAUUUUACUAUGUCCGAGUUUAUAUGAAUUUAUAUGAGGAGUUAUAUAUAACACUUGAAAUUGUCUGUCUUGAAAUCGGGCUGUCCUAUAUAAAAUAAUCUAAAAUUCCGUGAUUUAAACAGUUCUUGUUGUUUGUUCUAUAGUAUGCAGCGGAGAUUCAUUCGAACUAGAUUUCGUCACAUGGCCCAAUGAGACACAAGUUGUAGUGAAUGAAACCGUAAAAUUUCUGUGGAAGUACUAUGUUAAAAAUACGGACGUUGAUAUAAAAUGGGGAACCUCGAAGCACAUUUCGCCUAAAGUAUCCACGUUCGAUAAGAUAUUUUUCAGCGCCAUUGAGUAUGAGAAAUACAGAAAGCCACAAAGAUCGUCGGAAAUGCCAGAUAGGUAUCGUGGUCGGGUUCAGAUCGUCGGGCAAGCCAGUUUACAAAUCGUUAACGUUACUCUUGAAGACGAAGGGGAAUACCUGUGCGAAAUAAGCGAUACUGGAAAUGCUUGGAAAACUCUAUCGAGGGCUGCAAAGCUACAUGUGCUUG